rnacentral:rRNA from 1 species
UACGAAGGGGGCUAGCGUUGUUCGGAAUUACUGGGCGUAAAGCGCGUGUAGGCGGGUCUUUAAGUCAGGGGUGAAAUGCCAAGGCUCAACCUUGGAACUGCCUUUGAUACUGGAGAUCUUGAGUCCGGGAGAGGUGAGUGGAAUUGCGAGUGUAGAGGUGAAAUUCGUAGGUAUUCGCAAGAACACCAGUGGCGAAGGCGGCUCACUGGCCCGGAACUGACGCUGAGACGCGAAAGCGUGGGGAGCAAACAGG